AUGUCCGGCUUACUCGUCAGCGUCUGCGAACUGCUCUGGCACAGUGGGCAUGUUGUAGGAGGACCAUCGGACAGGGCGUGGGUGGUGUACGGUUGGGCUGUAAUUGGCUGUCACCGGCAGGUUGCCAAAACACAUCUUCUCCCAGUCAGUCAGUGUGACCUCUUGGAUCUCCUUUUCCCAGUCCUCCUCCUCUUGUGGUGGCAUUGUUGAGGCUCUACAAAAGAUUGACAGGUCUCAAAUGAGCAUUUCAUCUUUGCAGGCACACAAAGGGAAACUAUCCAAAUGUUCACAUACAUUAUUUUUUGAUUAUCUGACACUGGGGUUGUUUCUUGUCAAUACAUUUUCAUGAAAUAUUUAGUCAGGGAGGCAGUGGGAGCACUUACAGGAAUAGUUCUACAUUUUGGAAACAUUUGUUAAGAUUAAAAUAUUGACACCACAGUGUUUCCUCUAGGAUUUAUUUUAGCAGUGGGGGCAGGCCCGUCCGAACAGCCCCCAUGUCGGCAGGAUCAUUUAAAAAGCAACCGUGACUACAUUGUGCGUCUGCCCCAUUUCUGAUACCGUGGCAGCAGAAAUUUAACAGUGGCGGGCCGCCGCUCCAAAAUCAGCAUAGAGGAAACACUGCACCACUCUGCUUGCAGAACCAGUGACUUCCUUUAAAUCAGACAUAGACUUGCUUUUAUGUGAUGUUGUCUUUGUACUUUAUUUUAUUUUUAUGGCUUUUAUUCUCUUAUUUUUGUAUUUAUUUUAAAAUAUUAUAUGUUCUGUUGUUACAUUAUGUUUUUUUUAAUGGCUAUCACUUUCACCGUCCUCAUCUUUCAUUCUCAUUUUCUUCCCUGGCCUCUACCAUGUUGUUUCGUCUUGUCAUUUCUGUCUAAUAUCCUAGGUUAAUCCAGCUGCCCUUUACUAUUGCAUUGCACAACUCUUAUGACAGUAGGUAGCCCUUGGGAGAGUCCUAACAUUUCUUCUUACUAAGGAGACAUGGUAACAGAGAUCAGAUCAAUAAUCAGUCCAGAGCUUGAGUUAAAGUUCAGUGUUAUGUAUUUGGGAAAUGUGCCAACUGGGCUAAAAAUGCAUUUACAAAUACUGCUAGCAGGCAGGAAAUGGGGAAACUGGUGAAUACAAAGUCUCCAACAAUCCCUGAAUGGAUAUAAAUAGUUUAGUUAAUUUAUACUAUGGAAUGGCAGAAUCUUUCUCUGGGAAGUGCCACUAAAAAUAUGCGAAAAAUACUGGAAAUCUUAUUUGAAUCUGGAGUGAUUUUUUAUUUUGAGAGAACUUUUUUUUAAAAUUUCCUACCUGACUAAGGACAAAAGAAUGCACUUAUGAUGUACCCUUAAAAUAAUCCUGGCUUAGCGUGAAUCAAAGUCAAUGAACUGCAAUGUAACCCAGCUUAUCUUCCAUUUCCUGUUUUUAACAUGAUGUCCAGCAUUUCACCUUACCUACAAUGAUCCUGUUGGUUGUCCUCUGUUCUGUAUGUUCUGUUUUUGUCACCAAAAAAAUAAAAUAAAGUUAAAAAAAGACAGUCGGUAGCCCAAAAUGAAACUUCAGGCAUUCAAUAUCUCCACUGUCAGUUACAAGUUCAUAAAGUUGGCAGGCCCACCAAAAACACAGUGAGGAAGUGUUUUUCAAUCGCCUGUCGGACAGAACAGAUGCAUUUCCAUUUUAACAGCUCACAGUGAAGUCACAUAGGGGAGAUUCAACUGUCAGGAGCGUGUAACUAUGCAUGAAUGUACACUUUGGACUGAAAGAUUAAUUCAAAGCAGCUGUAAGGUAAGUGGCGCACCUCAUUUUAGGUAGGAAUUUCUUCCAUCUUCUCGGCUUCUUAGCUGCUGCAGACGGGCUGGGCUCUGGUGCCUUUUGGUCAGAAUUAGAGGGCAAAGCAACAACGUCUAGACUGGUGUCCCCAUUCACUGCGAUACUACGUGGAAUGCCUGCACUACUGACACAGCGAGCUGCUGAGGCAUCAGUGACAGCUGAAUUUGUGCUUCCUUGUUUCCUGAGUGUCCUUGGCGGCGGUGCUUUC
rnacentral:lncRNA from 15 species